rnacentral:rRNA from 1 species
UACGGGGGGGGGCAAGCGUUGUUCGGAAUUACUGGGCGUAAAGGGCUCGUAGGCGGCCAACUAAGUCAGACGUGAAAUCCCUCGGCUUAACCGGGGAACUGCGUCUGAUACUGGAUGGCUAGAGGUUGGGAGAGGGAUGCGGAAUUCCAGGUGUAGCGGUGAAAUGCGUAGAUAUCUGGAGGAACACCGGUGGCGAAGGCGGCAUCCUGGACCAAUUCUGACGCUGAUGAGCGA